UCAUGGUGGUGCAGAUUUAGUGCUCUUCGGCUGUGCUUUUAUUUGGAUUUAGUUUUUCCAUAGUAUAAGGUACAAAAUGGAACGCAUACAUUACGGACUAGCACUUCUGCUGUUAUCAUCAAAUAUAUUGGGCCAAUACAAUUAUCCUACUCCUGCAACUCCCUUUAAUGGAGGUCCAGCGCCACAGCAAACCAGUAGCGGGAAUUUUCCUCAGCAAUCUUCAACAGGAGCAACAGGUUAUCCCAGCUCUGGAACAUUAAAUUCGAACAAUUAUCAAAAUCUAGGAGGUUCACCCCAGCGACCAGCGCUUG
rnacentral:lncRNA from 1 species